rnacentral:rRNA from 1 species
UACGUAGGGGGCAAGCGUUGUCCGGAUUUAUUGGGCGUAAAGAGCUCGUAGGCGGUUUGUCGCGUCUGCUGUGAAAACUGGAGGCUCAACCUCCAGCCUGCAGUGGGUACGGGCAAACUAGAGUGCGGUAGGGGAGAUUGGAAUUCCUGGUGUAGCGGUGGAAUGCGCAGAUAUCAGGAGGAACACCGAUGGCGAAGGCAGAUCUCUGGGCCGUAACUGACGCUGAGACGCGAAAGCGUGGGGAGCAAACAGG